CAUAAACUUUCUGACAGAGCGUUGGCACAGAGAUCCCACACAUUUCCAGCCCGCUGUUUCUGGGAAAAGCCACCUGCCAAUCAUCCUUGGAGCAGCAGCCAUUCUCAGGAUAUCCUACAUCUCAGAUCACCUAAUAAACACAGGACCUGUCGACGACUGGAGAAAAGGAGAAACGCUGAAGUACACUGGGCAUUUUGGAAGCAUUUCGUCAUAAUAAAUUACCUUUGCCUUUA